rnacentral:rRNA from 1 species
GACGAACGCUGGCGGCGUGCCUAAUACAUGCAAGUCGAACGCAUUUUCUUUCACCGUAGCUUGCUACACCGAAAGAAAAUGAGUGGCGAACGGGUGAGUAACACGUGGGUAACCUGCCCAUCAGCGGGGGAUAACACUUGGAAACAGGUGCUAAUACCGCAUAAUUCCAUUUACCGCAUGGUAAAUGGAUGAAAGGCGCUUUUGCGUCACUGAUGGAUGGACCCGCGGUGCAUUAGCUAGUUGGUGGGGUAACGGCCUACCAAGGCUGCGAUGCAUAGCCGACCUGAGAGGGUGAUCGGCCACACUGGGACUGAGACACGGCCCAGACUCCUACGGGAGGCAGCAGUAGGGAAUCUUCGGCAAUGGACGCAAGUCUGACCGAGCAACGCCGCGUGAGUGAAGAAGGUUUUCGGAUCGUAAAACUCUGUUGUUAGAGAAGAACAAGGAUGAGAGUGGAAAGUUCAUCCCUUGACAGUAUCUAACCAGAAAGCCACGGCUAACUACGUG